AGCAGCCGCGGUAAUUCCAGCUCCAAUAGCGUAUAUUAAAGUUGUUGCAGUUAAAAGCUCGUAGUUGAAUUUCGGGAUCGAUACGUCGGUCGUGCCUUAGGUACGUACUGUCGUCAUCGAUUUCUCCCUUCUGACGAACCAUGAUGUCAUUUAUUUGGUGUUAUGGGAAAUCAGGACUGUUACUUUGAAAAAUUAGAGUGUUUAAAGCAGGCAUUAGCUUGAAUACAUUAGCAUGGAAUAAUGAAAUAGGACGUUCGAACCUAUUUUGUUGGUUUUUAGGAUCAACGUAAUGAUUAAUAGGGAUAGUUGGGGGCAUUAGUAUUCAAUUGUCAGAGGUGAAAUUCUUGGAUUUAUUGAAGACUAACUACUGCGAAAGCAUUUGCCAAGGAUGUUUUCAUUAAUCAAGAACGAAAGUUAGGGGAUCGAAGACGAUCAGAUACCGUCGUAGUCUUAACCAUAAACUAUGCCGACUAGGGAUCGGAUGAUGUUAAUUUUUUAAUGACUCAUUCGGCGCCUUACGGGAAACCAAAGUGUUU
rnacentral:rRNA from 1 species